rnacentral:lncRNA from 1 species
GUGUUUCCCAAGAACUCAAAAUCAAUCUCAUCAUGGGUUGGUCCUUGGGAUGACAGCUUAAGCAGUGACAGUGCCAGCAGAGUUGCCAGCAACAAGCUUAAGCUGCAUAUCAAUUCUCCCAAAUAGGUACUCUCUCUUUGAUUUGAAGCCAGAGCCAGAGACUUUGUCAAGGGAAAGUGAUAGAAGUUGACCACCAUUGAAUAUCUUAGCACGGUUAUCACCCCAUGUUAGAUCAAAGUCUUGGUAGAAACUACCAGCACAAGUAGCCACCAUAGAGCUAACCAUUAUAGCAAUUAGCAUAAACACAUGAAACUCAUUGUGAGUAGAAUUAGAAGCCAUUUUGGACAGAGAGAGAGAGAG